UACACAGUGGCCGAGCUCGCUUGCGCCUGCGCUGUGGACCUUGCUCGCGUUCUAGGGUGGAAGGUUGCGCGUUUGAGUGUCCAUGGCAACGCGACGCUACAGCCUUCUGGAAGGCUUAGCUCCAGCUCCUGUAGUGGAACGAUGCCUUUGGAGGUAGUGGUGGAGCUGCAGAUCCGCGCGAUUUCUUGCCCAGGAGUGUUCCUUCCUGACAAGCAAGAUGUGUACCUUGGGGUUUACCUCUUGAAUCAGUACCUGGAAACAGCCUGCUUUCCCUCUGUGUUCCCUAUUAUGAUUCAGCAGAGAAUGACAUUUGAAAAGUUAUUUGAAAAUGCAGUAGAUCCUGGAGCUGUAGCAGAUAUUUUAGAAAGCUUCUUAACCAGGUUUGAAUUAAUACAGCUAGUGUCUCCAGUUUGGGAAGAGUUGGCCUACUAUGAAGAAAACACACGGGACUUUCUUUUCCCUGAGCCCAAGCUGACACCUUCACACCCUGGGAUGUGUAGGGAGGUGCUCAUGAAAACAGCUGCAAGUUUUCCGGGCAUUGCUCCCAAAAUUGAGUUUUCUACGAGGACAGCUAUCAGAGAAUGUGUGUUUCUGCAUAGAAACAGAUUUCUUGAAGAAAGAUAUAAGUCACGAAGGCCUUUAUCUACAUCAUAUGGACCCAAAUUCCCCUUAAAUAAUAUGCAGAUGAAGCCAAAGGAGAGUAAUCUUAACAGACUGCCCCAAAGCAUGCAAUCCCGGGCGCCUUCUCCAUAUUCUGCCAGGCGUUCUUCCCAGGACCAGCCAGCUCAAGUGAACCCUGGAAAUAAUUUCAGAAUCUCCAGAGAAAGCAAACCUCCAUUUGUAGUUAGACAUGUGGACAGUACAAAGCCCUUUGGUGAGAAUAUUUCAGGACAUCAUUCCCUGAAGUCUAGAAGAAAAUCUAAGUUUUCAAACUUUCCCUUUCCAAUGAGAAGAGCUUCCUCUCUUGACAGCCUUGCAGCUAACAUAAAGGUUAUUAAAGCACCAGAUGAACGGAUUGUUUUAAGGAAUGAAUCACCAUCACCUCUAGAUUCAAGUAAGUUUGGGAAGCCCUCGCCCAGUUACAGUAACCAAGGGGAUGCCGACCUCCACCAGGAAACUUCAUUUGUCAGCUCCCAGCACUCCAGAUCUCCCAGCCCUCUUCUGCAUCAGCCCCUUCUCCAAGAAAGGUUCUACCCUGAUUCUCAGUCCACAUGGAAGAAGAUCCAUGAAAGGGUAUGCGGUCUUCUGACAUCCCAUGCUGCUUGGCAACACCUAAACAAGGAGGAUUCUAUCUCUGAAGUAAAUUAUACCCUUGAAAGACCAAGCUACCCUAUGAAGAAAUACCCAGUGCAUGCACAGAGAUAUUUUUAAGCUGCUAUCUUAUUCCCACAUGUAGUAUGGGAAGUUUCAGAUUUCGGAGGGGAAACUGGAUGAAAGUUGGAGGAGCAUCAUAAAGAACUCCCUCAUGGAGUCAGCUGACACAUCCUUAGAGAAAUGAACAACAAUUUUUGUUAUAUAUAUCAAGUUGCUGGUGUCUCAUCCCCUUUAAAUCAAACCCUGUACUCAGUCUUUUGUACCCAGGAGCUCUGAGAUGGCAGCACUGAGUGACUCAGCAUUUCAUGGCCUGCCCCCAAAAUGAAGGGGGUUUGAGGCUGCUGGGCUGCUGAGUCACCAGAAUUAGGAUUUUCAAAUGAAGAAAGAGAAGGAAGACCUCUGGCCAGGCAAAGAGUUGGCUCUAAGGAACUGACACCUAGAUUGGUAUCUUAAACUGAGAGAAAUAUCACACCUAUUUUAGUGGGAUGACUUCCAGGAAUAGACUGAAUAUAAUAGGUGUCAUUGUUGGAAGUGCUGGAUUCCUGGUGAGAGCUCAUCCUCAUGAAAGUUCAUUUGUCAUUGCAUAAGGGAAGUUCAACACAGGUGAAUGGUGACAUCUUUUGUUCACUGAGACAUGCAGUCUCCCAGUCCUAACAAAUAAUUAAAUUGAUUCCAUAGCCUUGCAUGGGAUCACUCAACUUGUAUUUAUUAAGCUCCUACUAUGUGCUCAGUAUUGCACUGGGCCCUGUGAAAUAAGAGACAAGUUAUGCUAAGGAGUAUAACAUACAACCUGUGCCUUCCUGGAGUCUUCAGACUUCUUAGGGCAAUGAGAUGUUUCAAAGGUGUUGCAAACUCAAAUGCCUUCAGGACCAGGCAGGAUUUGUGACUGUUGGAAGCAGUGGGGUUUGAAAUAAUGGUGAGUAAUGGGGGCUGGGGUGAAAUGGAGAGUGUAACUUCACCCCUUCCACUUCCUGCAAGGUGUUUAAAUUCUUCAAAUUCAAAUCUAAGACGACAAAAGGCUCUAUGGCCACAUAAAGCUGAUCUGAAGCUGAUCUUGCCCACAGCCACCAGUUUUGACUCUUAUUUAACAAUAUGAUGUAAUAUUAACUCAAGUUUGUGGAACUCAAUUUCAUUAUGUUGUAAUCAAGUCUCAUAUUGAUUAAUUUAAGGAAUCAUCUGAUUAUACACCAAAAUACUGUUAUUUCUCUAGGUUCCAUGAGGUAAGAAAUAAUGUAGUUCUGGGGCCAAGGGCCAAGAAUUUAUUUCUGACAUUAAGUAAUAGGAAGUCUACGUGGAGAAGAGGUUUGGGAGAAGUGAGGAAAUUGGAGUCUAAUGAAGGAUAUGUGAAUGGAGAAGAAGAAAAUAGCCGUUAGGGAUAUCUUAUGAAGUAUCUUAAAUUCUGGGCCUGGUAUUUUAGACUUAGCGCUGUAGACAAUAAGAAACCAUUAGAGUUUUGGUAUGAGAAAGCCGACUGUUAAUCUGAUGAUCUUGUUCAGGGUGGUUUGGGAGUGGGUAGAGGGUGGCAGCAGGGAGACUAUUGAAGAAGUCUGGAAAUUAGGGUAAUAGAGCCUAGACGGUGUGGGAGGGUCAUAGAGGAAAAAGGGACUCAUUAAACCUCACUAGGCAACUUUUUUUAAUGGUGCUUAUUUUAAUGGUGUGUGUGUGGCAGGGGAUGGGGAGUCUGGCUCCUUUAAAGAAGACACUGUUCAGUCAGAAGGCCUGGGCUGAGUUGCAAAAUGAAGGAGAACUAUUUAAUCAUCAGGAAUGAAGUAUUGAUUGAGACAAUAAUUACCCUGCAGAUAAAAGGACACAGUGUUCUUCAUUUCAUAGACUCACAUUCAUAUCUACAUUCUUUAAGACAUGAGGUGAAAUGAGCUCAGGAACAAAAGAACAAAAUAGGAGGCCGGGUAAAACAUUAUGAAGAGAGAUUUUUUUUUUCAUGGUGUCUUUUUUGUCAGUAGGGCCAGAUAGGGAACAGAAUUACUGGGAAUUGGGGUACUGUGAGGCAGGGUAGGUGCUCAGAAGCAAUGGGAGCCAUCUCUUGGAUUUAGUUUUUUGUUGUUGUUGUUUGUACCUCUGAAUCUUGUUACUAUUUUGAAGAUCUCAUUGUUGUAAAUAGAAUUGAGGAUUAUCAAAGUACACAUUAUUUAUUUAAGAAUUACAUGGGAAGAGAAGUGCAGGAAUGUACCAUGUCCAGUUAUAUAGGUCUGAACUGAACGAGCCACUUCACAAGGAUGCAGCAUUGUCCCUAAGAGGCUCCCACCCAAGUGGAGAGUGGGAUUCAGAUAAAUGAAAGAACCUCUGUAGACCUGCCUUGUCCCCACCAACCGCUUGGGGUCAAAGAGGGUCAAAGAAAUUGUUAUGAUCAGAGGUCGCAGUGGAGAUAAUGGUGAUUUUGAAAACACAACACCUGAUUUAGGAAAGAGAGAAUACAGAAGAAAUUUACAAGUUUGACUAUGGAUAAGUUCAGUUUUAAAAAGAUGGUGCUAAGGUCAAAGGGAAAUGUCCAAGAGAAGUUAGGAAUGUAGAUCUGAAGUUUGGCUGGGAGGUCAGGGCAGGAGAAACCAAAGGCAGCUAUAGAUUUUGCAGAUAUAUAUUUUUGUUAAUCAUCUGAAUAGAAGUGGCAUUUGAAGCCAUAAUAAUCGAUGAAUUUCUGGUGGAGAGAGUGUAGAGAGAGAGACCGAAAGAAAUUGGAGCUUGUUGAUUCAUUCCAUAUUUGAGAGUCCCCUGUGUGUUCGCCACAGGCCAACCAUUGGGCAGAGAUGAGGCCCACAGGAAGGGAGCAGCAGGAAAAGGAGGUUACAAAGCUUGUUGAAGAAUGGGGUAAGAGGAUCGGGAUAGAACCCAAUAAUGUCUUAGAAAUCAAAGGAAGAGAACUGAGUGGAAAAUGAGCUAAUUAACAGUGACAAAUACUGCAAAAGAGUAAAAAUUAAGGACUGAGAAAAUGCCUGUUGGAUUUUACAAGGAAGACAUUGAUUUACCUUGGAGCUUAUAUUGUUCCUGAUCUUAGAGGAAAAGUUUUUAUCUUUUCACUAUUGAAUAUAUUAGAUGUGGGUUUAUCAUAUAUGGCCUUCAUUAUGUUGAGGGACGUUCCUUCCGUACCCUAUUCAUUAAGAGUUUUUAUCAUGAAAGGAUGUUGAAUUUUGUCAGAUGCUUUUUCUGCAUUUAUAGAGAUGAUCAUAAUGAUUUUUAUACCUAAUUUUGUUAAUGUGGUGUAUCACGUUUAUUGAUUUGCUUAUGUUGAA